rnacentral:tRNA from 5 species
GGUCCCAUCGUCUAACGGUUAGGACAGAUGGUUUUCAAUCAUCUAAUCGGGGUUCGAUUCCCCGUGGGACCGCCA